rnacentral:rRNA from 1 species
AACGAACGCUGGCGGCAUGCCUAACACAUGCAAGUCGAACGAAGCCUUCGGGCUUAGUGGCGCACGGGUGCGUAACGCGUGGGAAUCUGCCCUUUGGUUCGGAAUAACAGUUGGAAACGACUGCUAAUACCGGAUGAUGACGAAAGUCCAAAGAUUUAUCGCCAGAGGAUGAGCCCGCGUAGGAUUAGCUAGUUGGUGUGGUAAAGGCGCACCAAGGCGACGAUCCUUAGCUGGUCUGAGAGGAUGAUCAGCCACACUGGGACUGAGACACGGCCCAGACUCCUACGGGAGGCAGCAGUGGGGAAUAUUGGACAAUGGGCGAAAGCCUGAUCCAGCAAUGCCGCGUGAGUGAUGAAGGCCCUAGGGUUGUAAAGCUCUUUUACCCGGGAUGAUAAUGACAGUACCGGGAGAAUAAGCCCCGGCUAACUCCGUGCCAGCCGCCGCAGUAA